GACGAACGCUGGCGGCGUGCUUAACACAUGCAAGUCGAACGGAAAGGCCCUGCUUUUGUGGGGUGCUCGAGUGGCGAACGGGUGAGUAACACGUGAGUAACCUGCCCUUGACUUUGGGAUAACUUCAGGAAACUGGGGCUAAUACCGGAUAGGAGCUCCUGCUGCAUGGUGGGGGUUGGAAAGUUUCGGCGGUUGGGGAUGGACUCGCGGCUUAUCAGCUUGUUGGUGGGGUAGUGGCUUACCAAGGCUUUGACGGGUAGCCGGCCUGAGAGGGUGACCGGCCACAUUGGGACUGAGAUACGGCCCAGACUCCUACGGGAGGCAGCAGGGGGGAAUAUUGCACAAUGGGCGGAAGCCUGAUGCAGAAACGCAGCGUGCGGGAUGACGGCCUUCGGGUUGUAAACCGCUUUCGCCUGUGACGAAGCGUGAGUGACGGUAAUGGGUAAAGAAGCACCGGCUAACUACGUG
rnacentral:rRNA from 1 species